rnacentral:lncRNA from 1 species
ACCGAUUUUCCCGCCUCAGCCUCCCGAAUAGCUGGGAUUACAGGUGCCUGCACCGCGCCCGGCUAAUUUUUGUAGUUUUUAGUAGAGACGGGGUUUCGCCAUCUUGGCUAGGCUGGUGUCAAACUCCUGACCUCGUGAUCUGCCCGUCUCGGCCUCCCAAAGUGCUGGGAUUACAGGCAUGAGCCACCGCGCCUGGCCUGUUUAGGUUUCUUUUGUAGAGAAUUUCCCAGCUUUGAUGCCCUUUGCACUAGCAUUUAAAUUUUGGAAUCAAUUUGGCAAGCGAAUAGGAUUAAGGCCCUCUGCAUUAAAAAUGGCUUCAUGCAGAGUUCAGCUUUCCUGCCCUUCCAGCCCCAACAAGAUGCCAUCUUGAAAGCAGGGAGCAGCGCUUACCAGACACCGAACCUGCUGUCCCUUGAUCUUGGACUCCCAGCCUCCAAAACUGUAAAACAUACAUUUUUGUUCUUUAUAAAUUUCUCAGUCUCAGGUAUUUUGUUGUAACGGCACAAAUGGGCUACAAGCUUUAUUUCUAGUUUCCUUAGAGUUCUAUUUAAAACACAGUGAA